rnacentral:lncRNA from 1 species
UUAGAUCAAGUUGAUAGCGAUUAGUCAAGUCAGCAGCCUUGUCAUUCUUCUUAGGAAGGCAUUUUUUUAGAGAGACCUGUUCGUCGUUGUGGGAUUCCUCAUCAGGGAUCUGUAAGACAUAAUCUGAAGUGGUAGAAUUUGGUUCACAACUUGAGAUCAGCAUAUGUGUUGGACAAACUGACGGGUCAUUGAUGUCUUAUAGUUAUUCUUUGGGAUCACAAUUCUAGACUACUUUCUAAACCGAAGGAAUAUCUAGUGGCUCAUCAUUUUGGGUUUCUGCGCUUUGGAUCUCAAGGUUAUUAGUUGGUACUAUAGGAUUAGGACUAUGGAGGAUGGAAGAAUGUCUCGAGACCAUCUUAUCAGCAACAUAUAGAACUUAGCUAGAAUGUCUUAUCUUCUUUACUCGAUUUUAUGCCAUGUUAGCUUUCUGUACCAUGACGUCUUUCCUUGCCCACAUAAUAUCAGACUGUUGUUUAUCUUUUAAAGAUGGAGUGAACUACAUGGAUGAACGAGGAAAAAAAGGUUGGCCUAAUCCUUAUGGAGGAUACCAUGUGGAAAUACGAUGGAUGCUUGGGCGUUUUGUAGUAUAACGCAGUUGUAUUUUAGAUUUUGGAUUUGUUCUUAAAGAGAGGCCAUUUCUUUUUAUUGUUGAUUAGGAAAAUAUUGAAAUAGGGUUCUUAGAAGAUAUUUUUCAGACUGGUUGGUCUGCAACUUAUCUUCGAGUGCUCCGAUAAGUGUGACAUGUUGAGUGGAUGUUAAGCACUUUCUGGUCAAAUAUCAUAUGGCACUUUUGGAUCUUGGAUUAUGUUAUUCUUUCCAGAGUGGUGGUCUAGUAGUAAAGCAUUUAUGUGGCUGGAUUGAGAAAAGGACAUCAUGAGCAUCUGAGGGUAGACUUCAGAUCGAGUAGCUAUUGCAUCCUUUCUAUUAUAGAUUUUACAGUCACAAUUAAUCUUCCAUGGGUAAUGUCCUGAGAUAGGGCAUUUACGCCAUCAUGAUUAAAGUGUUUUAUCCAAUCAUGUUCUUUCAUAAAUCCAGUAAGGAACCUAGGAUGAUUAUCGGGUCCUUUACAUUUGGGAGAUCAUCACUUGGGUUGUACAAGGGGAUGUAGAAGGUGGUUCUAGGUGGCUUUUUUAGAUAGAGUUAGUCGAAAUCAUCGGUGGACUUUAAAGGUUGAGUAUAGUCUCUCAACUUAUCAUAUUUAGUGACCCAUGAGGCUAGGAUAAUGCUAACCAAUUCAUCCCUAGAUAUGUUUCUCCGGAUCUUAGUGCACUCUGUGGUUCCGUUAGUUGUAUCUACCUCAAGAAUAGAUUGUUCUUGCCACUUAUAGGAGAUAGGUUUAUGUUAUGGUUUUGAACUCACCAGGCUAUUUGGCAAUAAAGUGUUACCUGAACGACAUCUCUGCCCUGUAGAUCUCCAAGAAUCUGGACCUGGAUCUUCAACACCUUCAUUUGAUAUGGAUAUGAUAAUGGCAUGUUGAAGUUGGGGAACAUAUUGAAAAAGACUGUACUAUCAUCCAGGAUAAUAUCUGAUGUACCCAAAUUCUCAGGUUGGUACUUGAUGAAUCUGGUAGCAAGAAGAGAAAGAUACGCCAGAACUGGCCGACCUUUUCUUCCUUGAUAUGUCAACGUAAUUCGUACAACACCAAUAUUGAGAUGAGUAAAUCCAAGGAAUUUUCAUUGUUGUGGAAAAUCCUCUAGCAUCUGCAGUGAUAUGAACUAUUCAUCUGGAGUUACAAGAAUAAGGUGCUGACAAGUGAUGUUGCAGAUACAUAUUCCCUAACUUUUUUUGGCUUUUCUUGGACCAUUGAGUAGAUCUUCAUCAAGUGAUUGCGUAUCUUUUUAGCAAAAGCUGAAUAGGGGUUUUGUAAAGGUGUGGUAGAUAUCUAGUUUUGUGAUGUAAACACAUCUACUCCAUAUAGAUAGUCAAGUUUACAUGGCAAUGUAUCGCUAGGAGUGAUAGAAAUUUUUAUCUUGAUAGAAGGAUUAUAUGAACUAGAUGAGAAAGAUAGUAAGGACUCAGAGAUGAACAUAUUUUUGGUAUUUUAUGGACUAUAAGGACUCGGUAUAUUUGUUAUGAAGUUCUACGGAAAACACUCAAUAAAAUCUUUUUGUAUUUUUAAGGACUUAUAAGACUAAACAAAUAUUUGUUCUAAAAUCUAUGAAAAAAAACUGACUCGAUUAUGUACAAAACUCUGGAGGUAAUGACUGGAAAUCACUGACUUUGAUAAUGGAAAUACUAUGACUCAAAUAUUUAUAGAACUUUGGUAGUUAUAACUGGAAAUUAAAUACUACGGAUCUAAGACUAAUAGCUAAGACAGAGAAAAGUAAAACUUAACUAAAAAUAAAAAUGUAAAGCUGGCUUACGUAUUUGCAAUCAACAAAUGUUUUGUAAACUCCUGUUUCCUCUCUCCUUCUGGGAGUAGGGAUGAAUCUAAUACCAAAUAGACAGGGAGACAGUGGGGCAUGAAACAAUGGCAUAUUCAAAAUUUUCAUCCGAGGUUGUGAAAAGUGGGUUCAACACCCAUGUGCCAUUUUUCUUAACUUUUGGCCAAUAGCUCGAGAUGAAUCUAGGAGUCUUAAGACUGAGACCAGGUGGCCACCCAACCUAAAAUUGAUGUUCCAAAGCUGUUGGAGCUAUUAGAAUUGAUAUAUGAGGUUGUUUAACUGAAUUUUUUUCCUGAUACCCGAGUUGAACCAAUGAGGACUUUAAAAUAAGGAAUUAGCUCUAUAAACCAAAUGAACUGCCCGAUAACUAAACUGUCAGUUCCUGCAAGUCUUAAAUUUACUUGGGAUAGCUAUAGGAAAGCUCUAAAUGGUGAAAAUUAGGAAAAAUAUAGAAAAUAACCCGAAGGGUCAUUACACUGUAUCACAUGCCUUACUAAAUUAAUAAUGCAAAGAAGAGCAAAGUAAAGGAAAAAUUAAAGGUACAUGAUCCCAUAAGUAUAAGCAAUGAUGGUAUUUGAUUCUUAUCUAUACAUUUGUACCUGAUUUCAUUUGAGUUUUUGAUUUACAUAUGGCUACUUUACACCUUACAUAUUCAGUACAUUUAUUCGUACUGAUGUCCAUCACGAGGGAUAGUAUGUUUCAUACUGCAAGUACAUAUUCUCUAGCUAGUAGAUCUAUCCAAUACAAGCAUGGGAUAUAUAAUAUUUUUAGUGAGUUUCAGGUUGAUUUGACACUUUGUCGAAUAUUUAGCAUGUAUUUCAAUGUUAUAUUAAAGUUAAGGGUAUUGUGGGGUCCUUUCCCAACCUAAGCAAAGUUGUUUGUCUUUUAGAGGCCUUGUAUAAUAAUGUUAACAUAAAGGGAAGUUAUGUCUAGCUUCCUAGCAAUUAAGGCCUCAAUGGACAAGUCUGAUACAUCUAGUUUGAGACUAUCUACGGUGGUUUUUUUAAUUAGGACAUCUUGUCUAAACUAGUUAAAGCUUUAUAAAUUAUCAUUUUUAUAUACAUGGUAAGUAUAGGUUAUAAGUUGGUUCUCUUGGGCCUUUAGGUUAUCAGGUGCCUUCUUUCUUAGAGAGAUUUGAGGCAUGACAUCCAUAAAUUAACUCAAGACAGGCUUCAGUAAUCAAUAUCUUAUUCAUUCAAUCAUUAUGCAUCUUACAACUUAGGCAUACUAGUAUUGUCAAAUCAAAACAACUAAUUAUAAGUUAUGUCCAAAUACCAAUCCAUAAUUUAUUCAUUUAAGAAUAAAUAACCAUAAUCAUCAAUCACAAGAACGUUUCAAAAAUCAAUCAACAUGUAUUUAAUUUAAAAGUGUACAUUCAACAAAAUCAAGUCAAAAUUUUAAUUCAACGUAUAUAAAUAAAUUCACUUAAUCAAUCCUCUUUUAUUCAUUUCAAGACCAAUGAAUUAGUUACUAAAUCGUAAUCCUUACAUUCAAGUCAUUACUAGGUUUAAGACACUACUUUGAAAGUCGAUUAUUCAACCAUCCGACUCCAUUCAACAUACGAUUCCAACUUUUGUUAUUUGUCUUUACAAAUAUUACUCCCUAACACUUAACCAAUCUGCCAUUAUGUUCGUUAAGUUAUAGUGCCACAUUCCCUUAUCAUGAUUCAUUCUUAUAGCAUGUUACAAUAGGAAAUUCACAUAUUCAUGAUGCACACAAUAUUGAUUUACCCUUUUAAAGGUCUUUAAGCUGAGUUCUUAGAUCGCCAGCUCACACGAUCUCCAAAUUGUUAUCUACAUUCACAUAAUUUACAAUACAAUCACCCAUAAAGGAAUUCGUACAUUAACACACAAUUAAAUAUUUGUAAUAUUAAUCUCAUGUUUUUAUCCGUUCAAACGCUGUGCUCGCAUGCCUAAACAUGAUUCUCCCAUCAAUCUAUAUUAUGUACCAGUUUGCUAACCACAAUUUACUGAUCAUAAAAUUAUAACCUACUUCAUCCACAUAAUUUGAUCUAGCAAGCUAAUUUGUUCGAGCCUUCCCCUUCCUUAAUGCUUCAAAAUACUCAAAAUCUAAAGUAAUCAUCAUACAAAAGUAAUUAAUACUUACUCUUCAAAUUAAAGAACUAGAGAAUCAACCUACUAGUUUUACCCUUUUUAUAGCCUAAAACCUUAGCCAAGGAUUUUCAACCAUUAAUUUGCCCCAAUUCCCUGCAGUUCAUAUUCAAGGAGGGUAAUAAUACUCUAGGAAGUAUAAAUAAACAACCUAGAAUCAGUAAUUCUACUCUAGGAAGUAUAAAUAAACAACCUAGAACCAGUCUUAGAUAAACUCAGUACUACCAAUAAGUUUUCUUCAAAAUUUCAUAAACCUAGGAUUCUAACGCACAAUUUCGCCACUAAUAAUUAUUCCAAGGAGUUUAAGAUGUCAGUGGAUAAUAGACAACGAAAGUUGAUAGAAAAAAUUAAUUCAACAAACAAUUUUCAUUCCUUGACAAAGUUUCUCCUCUAAAGAUCUAAAAUGGAGUUUUUGAGUAUAUGUCAUAAAUCUCAUCAAAACUAACAUAAAACACUUCUCGACACAGUUGUAGCGGACAUAUGGUUGCAACAAUGGAUUCCAAUUUUUUAACGCAUAUACAUUUAAAUAAAAUGACCAUAAAUUUCUACUAUGAAAGUGGAUUACGAAAGAUUGGUGAAAUUGAAAAGAAGACUCGAAGCAAUUUAAUUUGGUAGAUCUUGAGCCAUGUAACUCUUUAUAUUCUAGGAGGGAUUCUCAUUGGAAUUCGAUCCUAAUAAGAUUUUAUAUCAAAACUCAACCGAUAAGGAUGUUUUUAACUCAACUUUAUGCUAGGAGUGUUGUCUGACCUUAGGUCAAAUAUGUGCACUCCAACACUAAAGGAAAGAUCUUAUUACCUAAGAAAAACUAAAAUUCUUAUGCUUUUAUUGAUAUUUCAGUAAUAAUAAAAUGGGUUGUUACAAGGAUACGAAGCAAAUUUAUAAAACUAAUUUAUUUUUAUUUUCAAUUUUCACUAAUUUUUUACUUUUUAUUUUUAAAAUUAUAAAAUCAAGAUAAUUUAAAUAUACAUAAGAAUCUUAUGAUAAAUUAUGAUUUACAAAAAAUAAAAAUGUUUAAACAAUAUAUAAAAAAUUCUAGUCAACAAAAUGACUGUUUAAUUCCACAAGACGAUAAAAGACAAAAAGUGUCAUAUAUAUAAAGUAAAACAAAGGAAGAAUUUUAAUAACUCCCUAGUUCUAAUUUAAGUGUCUUAAUUUAACUUGACGCUGAGUUUAAUAAAUAAAAAGAGACUCUUAUAGAUGUGUGUAGUCCUUUAAAUCUUAUGAUUUUAAAUUUGCCUUGUAGGAUGUUAGAAUUGAAAAACUUACUAAUAAUUAAAAGAGAAACUCUUUUGGGAUAAAUCAAAUACAAAAGUAAGACAAUUUAAUUAGGCCAAACACAUCGCCGAACUCCUAACUUAGCAUGAGCUUUCACUUUGGACCAUCACUCGCCCUUGAUCGUUUUAAACACCUAAACUAGUGUUCUACUAUGUCAUUUUGAUACUUUUUGACAAUUAAAAAAAUAAAUUAGGAGAGAGUAAUACACUCCUUGAUGAUGUGACAAGAAACAAAUUAAAUAAUUACGUGUGGCAUAAUAAGUUAAAAAACUAUUUUAAAAUCUUAAAUAAUAAACUUUGAGUAAAGAGUAAAAAAGUGGCAUGCGAAUUAAUGCCACAUGAUAUUUUUGUCUGAAUAACCACUUAAAAUAUAUAUUUAAUAGAAGAUCACCCCCACCUCUGCCCCCGCCACAUCAUCACUCCAACCUAUCUUUUCAAAAAAUACCUUCCAAAGGGAUUUGACUACUUUAGAAAAAAUUAUUUUACAUGAAAAAAUCACCUUAAUUGUAGUUUUAAACAAAAUGAAAGCUUUCAGGCAUUAAUGAACAUACUUUACAUAAGAAGUCAAAUAUAAAUGAAAUUUUCAUACACUUGUUCUAUACUUACAAACAAGAGUUUUAGUGAAUAUUCUCUAGAUGACAGAAGCUUGUCUUGAAUUCUUCUAAUGUAAAUUAUUAGUUUGAGAAAGUUUAUCUUACAGAAGUACACACUCUUUUAAAAAAAUCACUUUUUUCUUUAAAUUUCUGUAUUCUUAUCCAAACAAAUUUGAGGAGAAACAUGGGCAACAAAAUAAGAAGAGGUAUUUAAGCACAGGGAAGUCUCU